rnacentral:ncRNA from 1 species
GGCCGGAUAAGGCGUUUACGCCGCAUCCGGCAACUGGUGCCUGAUGCGACGCUUUACGCGUCUUAUCAGGCC